rnacentral:rRNA from 1 species
GACGAACGCUGGCGGCGUGCCUAACACAUGCAAGUCGAACGGGACUUAAUGGAAAGCGGCUUCGGCCAAUGGAAGUUAAGUAUAGUGGCGAACGGGUGAGUAACGCGUGAGAAACCUGCCUCUCAGUGGGGGACAACAGUUGGAAACGACUGCUAAUACCGCAUAACACUUUAGUACCGCAUGGUACAGAAGUCAAAGCUUAAUGUGCUGAGAGAUGGUCUCGCGUCUGAUUAGCUAGAUGGCGGGGUAACGGCCCACCAUGGCGACGAUCAGUAGCCGGUCUGAGAGGAUGAACGGCCACAUUGGGACUGAGAUACGGCCCAG